ensembl:misc_RNA Y_RNA Y RNA
GGCUGGUCCAAUAGUAGAGGGUUAUCAGAACUUAUUAACAUUAGUGUCACUAAAGUUGGUGUACAGCCCUGCCCCUGCCACCCCCCCACCCCGUGCCAGCUAAAUUUGACUGGCUUAAA